UAACGCGUAGGUAACCUGCCUGGUAGCGGGGGAUAACUAUUGGAAACGAUAGCUAAUACCGCAUAAGAACAUUUACUGCAUGGUAGAUGUUUAAAAGGUGCAAAAGCAUCACUACCAGAUGGACCUGCGUUGUAUUAGCUAGUUGGUGAGGUAACGGCUCACCAAGGCAACGAUACAUAGCCGACCUGAGAGGGUGAUCGGCCACACUGGGACUGAGACACGGCCCAG
rnacentral:rRNA from 1 species